rnacentral:rRNA from 1 species
AUUGAACGCUGGCGGCAUGCUUUACACAUGCAAGUCGAACGGUAACAGGCCGCAAGGUGCUGACGAGUGGCGAACGGGUGAGUAAUGCAUCGGAACGUGCCCAGUCGUGGGGGAUAACGCAGCGAAAGCUGCGCUAAUACCGCAUACGAUCUAUGGAUGAAAGCGGGGGACCGUAAGGCCUCGCGCGAUUGGAGCGGCCGAUGUCAGAUUAGGUAGUUGGUGGGGUAAAGGCUCACCAAGCCAACGAUCUGUAGCUGGUCUGAGAGGACGACCAGCCACACUGGGACUGAGACACGGCCCAGAAUCCUACGGGAGGCAGCAGUGGGGAAUUUUGGACAAUGGGCGCAAGCCUGAUCCAGCAAUGCCGCGUGCAGGAAGAAGGCCUUCGGGUUGUAAACUGCUUUUGUACGGAACGAAACGGUCUGGGUUAAUACCUCGGGCUAAUGACGGUACCGUAAGAAUAAGCACCGGCUAACUACGUGCCAGCAGCCGCGGUAAAAC